rnacentral:lncRNA from 1 species
UUGAUUAGGGUUAGUUUUUUUUUAGGUUUUGUUUUAAUACGGUUUAGAUUUGGUUAGUGUAGAGUUAGGGAAAUCGUAGCGGUUUAACAUUAUUUUUUAAUAUCUAGUUUAGUUUUGUAAACCAUAAUUUAUUUGUAAACCAAUUUACAUUUAUAAAUAAAAUUUAUUUUCUUUUUAAUUAUAAACUAAUUUUUGAUUUAAUUUUUAAUUAUUUAUUUUUA